rnacentral:rRNA from 1 species
UGGGGAAUAUUGGACAAUGGGCGCAAGCCUGAUCCAGCCAUACCGCGUGGGUGAAGAAGGCCUUCGGGUUGUAAAGCCCUUUUGUUGGGAAAGAAAAGCAGCUGGUUAAUACCCGGUUGUUCUGACGGUACCCAAAGAAUAAGCACCGGCUAACUUCGUGCCAGCAGCCGCGGUAAUACGAAGGGUGCAAGCGUUACUCGGAAUUACUGGGCGUAAAGCGUGCGUAGGUGGUUGUUUAAGUCUGUUGUGAAAGCCCUGGGCUCAACCUGGGAAUUGCAGUGGAUACUGGGCGACUAGAGUGUGGUAGAGGGUAGUGGAAUUCCUGGUGUAGCAGUGAAAUGCGUAGAGAUCAGGAGGAACAUCCAUGGCGAAGGCAGCUACCUGGACCAACACUGACACUGAGGCACGAAAGCGUGGGGAGCAAACA